rnacentral:rRNA from 1 species
AACGAACGCUGGCGGCAUGCCUAACACAUGCAAGUCGAACGAGACCUUCGGGUCUAGUGGCGCACGGGUGCGUAACGCGUGGGAACCUGCCCUUAGGUUCGGAAUAACUCCCCGAAAGAGGUGCUAAUACCGGAUAAUGUCUUCGGACCAAAGAUUUAUCGCCUUUGGGUGGGCCCGCGUUGGAUUAGCUAGUUGGUAGGGUAAAAGCCUACCAAGGCGAGGAUCGAUAGCUGGUCUGAGAGGAUGAUCAGCCACACUGGGACUGAGACACGGCCCAGACUCCUACGGGAGGCAGCAGAGGGGAAUAUUGGACAAUGGGCGAAAGCCUGAUCCAGCAAUGCCGCGUGAGUGAUGAAGGCCUUAGGGUUGUAAAGCUCUUUUACCCGGGAUGAUAAUGACAGUACCGGGAGAAUAAGCUCCGGCUAACUCCGUG